GGACUACUGGCGAAAUGGCAGACGCGCUUGAUUCAAGAUCAAGUCUCACAGAGGUAUAGGUUCGAGUCCUAUGUGGUCCA
rnacentral:tRNA from 1 species